AUAACAAAUUUUGAUUCUUCUAGGUCACAAAAGCCAUGGCAUCAGGCUCUUACCAGCCUUCCUUCAUUAACAGGAAAACUCAUCUCAAAUGGUUGGGUCACCAGGGUUGGAUGACCCAAUUCAACCUUGUUAUUUCUUGGAUCAAAAGAACAAACAACAGAUCUCUUCUGUCCACUGACCUCCAUAUAUCAGAUAGAAGGGGAAGGCUGUGAUGAUUUCAGAACACAGGUUUUUCUAUAGGGAUAUUUCUGGUGUUGUAUAGCGGUAUAUUCUGGUAUAUAUCUGGUAUUUCUAUGGGUGAUAAGAGAGACGAGGGAAGAAAGAAGAAAAAAAAUCAAGGAAGAUGGAUAAAGUCCGUACCUGAACUAAUGAAGGAAAUAAUAAUAAUAACAGUUAAAAUUAAUUAAUAAGAUCCUCACAAUGACUCUGUUGUAGCAUAGCCACUAUGAUGAUCUCCUUUCUACAGAAAAGGGAACUGAAGCUCAGCGAGAAUAAGUGACUUGUCCAGAGUCAAAAGGCUGGUACAUGUGUGAGGCAGGAAUGGUACUCGGAUCUUUGUGAUGACAAGAUGAGCCCUCUAUCACCUGCACCAACCAGCUGUCUCACAACAAUCAGAGCUCUAUCCAAUGAGCCAUGUAAUUGCCUGAAAGAAAAGGAAGAAAAGAAAGGGGAGCUGGUAGACGAGAAGCAGACAAUAUACAAAGGAAGAAAGGAGGCAUGGUAUCUGAGAGAAUGGCAGCUGGUUGGGCAAGAGAAGGGGCCUCUUGUGGCCAUCAUUUCCCUACAGGAAGAAAGUCAACUCAUAAGGCAAUAGUGAUCAUUUCUGAAAUGCUUCAAGGUUUGAAAAGUACUUUCUCACAAAAGCCUUGAGAGGUAGCUAAUGUAAAUAUCAUUUCCUGCCUCUUAAAGAACAGAAAAUGGAAGAUCAGAGAUAUCAAGUUGCUUGUCCAACUUGACAUUGUUAGUACUAGAAGUAGAACACAGCCUGGUCUCCUGAUGGAUGUUCUAUGCUCUCCCCACUUCUCUCUUCUUGGGAGUAAGAAAGACAGAUGAGAAGCAACCUGAUGUAAUAAAAAGAUUACUGGUUUUAGAGUCAGAGGACCCGGAAUCCCCAUUUGAGCUCUACUGUAUUCCAAGAUCCCCCUGUAAUUUUCAUGAACCAUUUUUCUGCUUUGGGUCUACAAUUCAUAGUUGAUAAAAUGAAGAAGUUGGAGUAGGUGGUCUUCAGGGGGUCAUUCCAACUCUAAACCCUAUCAUCUUUGGGCUAGUUAUCAAAACCAUCUGCUUCAAAGGAAUUCAUCCAUCUUCUCCCAACAUGCUUAGCCAUAGCUAAUUAGGUUCAAGUCAUUACUACUCAACAUUGCAUAAGACUUUCUCUCUAAGGUUACCUUUUAUCUAGUUAGACUGUUAGGCAACAAACAUAUAUUCAAUACUUCCUGUAUUCUAGGCACUUGUUAAGUGCUAAAGUUAGGUUUUUAAAAAGUCAAAAAAAUUCUGCCCUUAAGAAGCUUACAAUGUACUAAGAAGAAAGUAAAAAAAAAUCACCAUGUAUAUGCAUAUAUCCUUGUGAUUAAAUAAAUAUAUAUAUAUAUAUAA